rnacentral:rRNA from 1 species
UACGUAGGGGGCAAGCGUUGUCCGGAAUCAUUGGGCGUAAAGAGCGUGUAGGCGGCCUGGUAAGUCCGCUGUGAAAGUCCAGGGCUCAACCCUGGAAUGCCGGUGGAAACUGUCAGGCUCGAGUCCGGAAGAGGCGAGUGGAAUUCCUGGUGUAGCGGUGAAAUGCGCAGAUAUCAGGAGGAACACCAAUGGCGAGGGCAGCUCGCUGGGACGGUACUGACGCUGAGACGCGAAAGCGUGGGGAGCAAACAGG